GACACAGCUAAAUCUGUAAGCAGACAAAUGUUUACUCUCUGCUCUUCUUCUCCUAAAUCUGUUCUAGGGUUUCGUCCUUCAUUUCACAAACCCCAUCUCCCUUCCAUUAAUUUCCCCACUCUAGGAUCAAAUGGGCUUCCCCAGCUCUCAAGUUUCAGGCCAAAAAUUGUGGUCGGAUUGCAAGUGAAGCAGAGGCUGGCUCCAGUAUUUUCAACAAAUUCCAACUAUCCAGAAGGCAAUUCUGUUGCAAAGAAACCAGAUGGGGGAAAACCUACUGAAGAAAACAGCGGCCAGGGUCCUCCGUUCCUCACCAUUUUGGCUGGUUUUUUAGUCCUUUUCCUGAUAACAAAGGUUUUCGGAUCCAUUAUAACAUGGCUAGUUGGCCUGAUUGUCAAUGCUCCUAAACCGAAAUAGAGUUUUUGUGUCUAGCUGUUUAGAUCCAUGAAAGGAGCUCAGAGCAUGAUUGUUAUUGCAUCGUUAGCUGCUUUUAUUAUUGCUUUCAUGGUUUGCAACACUGACCUCGCAUAAAGCUGGUUGUUAAUUGCA